GACGAACGCUGGCGGCGUGCCUAAUACAUGCAAGUCGAGCGAAUCAGUGGGAGCUUGCUCCCUGAGAUUAGCGGCGGACGGGUGAGUAACACGUGGGUAACCUGCCUGUAAGACUGGGAUAACUUCGGGAAACCGGAGCUAAUACCGGAUACGUUCUUUUCUCGCAUGAGGAGAGAUGGAAAGAUGGUUCUGCUAUCACUUACAGAUGGACCCGCGGCGCAUUAGCUAGUUGGUGAGGUAACGGCUCACCAAGGCGACGAUGCGUAGCCGACCUGAGAGGGUGAUCGGCCACACUGGGACUGAGACACGGCCCAGACUCCUACGGGAGGCAGCAGUAGGGAAUCUUCCGCAAUGGACGAAAGUCUGACGGAGCAACGCCGCGUGAGCGAAGAAGGCCUUCGGGUCGUAAAGCUCUGUUGUUAGGGAAGAACAAGUACGAGAGUAACUGCUCGUACCUUGACGGUACCUAACCAGAAAGCCACGGCUAACUACGUGCCAGCAGCCGCGGUAA
rnacentral:rRNA from 1 species